UGCAUACACAGAAAUUCAUUCAAAUCGGUCCAGCCGUUUAGGAGUUCAGUGACAUACACACGUACAGUAGAAUUAUACAUAUAAAGGUACCAAAAUCACGCUUUUUAACCGACUUCAAAAGAGGAUGUUAUCAAUUCAAUCACGUUCAACCAAACAAACAAACUCUUCAGCUUUCUAAUAUUAUUAACUAUAUAGAUAUUGUGUAAAAAGGCUAAUAAGUAGUAGUCUCUCAACAGAUUUUUUUUACUUUUCAAGAGAAUUACUGAUGUUUCUAUUUUUCCGCUAAUUCGUAUGUAAAUAAAAGCAAAUAAAA